UUUCCAGAGAUGGAUUGGUGCCUUCGGGAACUGUGAGACAGGUGCUGCAUGGCUGUCGUCAGCUCGUGUUGUGAAAUGUUGGGUUAAGUCCCGCAACGAGCGCAACCCUUAUCCUUUGUUGCCAGCGAUUAGGUCGGGAACUCAAAGGAGACUGCCAGUGAUAAACUGGAGGAAGGUGGGGAUGACGUCAAGUCAUCAUGGCCCUUACGACCAGGGCUACACACGUGCUACAAUGGCGCAUACAAAGAGAAGCGACCUCGCGAGAGCAAGCGGACCUCAUAAAGUGCGUCGUAGUCCGGAUUGGAGUCUGCAACUCGACUCCAUGAAGUCGGAAUCGCUAGUAAUCGUGGAUCAGAAUGCCACGGUGAAUACGUUCCCGGGCCUUGUACACACCGCCCGUCACACCAUGGGAGUGGGUUGCAAAAGAAGUAGGUAGCUUAACCUUCGGGAGGGCGCUUACCACUUUGUGAUUCAUGACUGGGGUGAAGUCGUAACAAGGUAACCGUAGGGGAACCUGCGGUUGGAUCACCUCCUUACCUUAAAGAAGC
rnacentral:rRNA from 8 species